UACGUAGGGGGCAAGCGUUGUCCGGAAUCAUUGGGCGUAAAGAGCGUGUAGGCGGCUUGAUAAGUCCGCUGUGAAAGUCCAGGGCUCAACCCUGGAAUGCCGGUGGAAACUGCAAGCUUGAGUCCGGAAGAGGCGAGUGGAAUUCCUGGUGUAGCGGUGAAAUGCGCAGAUAUCAGGAGGAACACCAAUGGCGAAGGCAGCUCGCUGGGACGGUACUGACGCUGAGACGCGAAAGCGUGGGGAGCAAACAGG
rnacentral:rRNA from 1 species